AGUUGUGCGCGAUCUAUACGCGAGUAUUCUACCUCUCGGAUCGUAAAACUUUCAGGGUCGUCUUCGUUGGCGUUUCGGCGCGGCAAGUUCCGCGUUCGCGGAAAAUCUCUAGUCGACCGCGUUCGUCGAGUAGUCGAUCGUGUUCGCUCGAAGCAACGAUUUCGCGAGCCGCGCACGCGCGUCGUUCGUACGUCGAAUCUUCGAGUCACCGGUAAACAGCACCUUAUACGGCACAAAUAUUCUCGUGGCUCCUCGUCAUCGUGCAUUUCUUACUCUCAUCGACGAAUGAUCAGCUCGUAACAUCCUCCGAGAGAAAUCUACGGCUCGCUCGCGCGCAUCUCUGCUCUCCCCUUUGACGUAGCAUCGAUACACUCGACCUUAGCUCUCCGAGAACUCAGAACGAGCCAACGAGAGACGCGGAAAGAUGAGAAGAAGCACGAGCCAGACGGAUAUCGAAGGUUUACGCACAGUUACGGAGGAAUGAUUUGCAAAGAGCUAACGCGAAGGACCAAGACUUCCACAUUCGUAGAGGAAAAACGGCGAAACGUCGACGACGUUCGAGAAGACUGAUUUCCAUUCCAUCGUGCACCAUGGAUAACCAUGCCACUGGAUAAGCCCGAUUUUCCCUGAGAAAUAAUUUUUCACUUUUAAUAGUUUUCUGCAACGUCGCGUCAAUAAUUUGCACCGAGAAAAAACCUUCGUCGUUUCUCGUGAAUGAUUUCGUAACAGUUUCUGCUCGGAUCAGCUCUGAUCGACGCAAAUGCGCAAUGUUUGCGAGAAAAAUUACCGCGCGUAUUGCGAUUAACUUACAUAUCGCGGCGAUUUAAUUGCAAAUUACGUCAUGUAUAUGUUC
rnacentral:lncRNA from 1 species